rnacentral:rRNA from 1 species
AACACAUGCAAGUCGAACGAUAUAGUGGCAGACGGGUGAGUAACGCGUGGGAACGUACCUUUCACUACGGAAUAGCUCUUGGAAACGAGUGGUAAUACCGUAUACGCCCUCCGGGGGAAAGAUUUAUCGGUGAAAGAUCGGCCCGCGUUAGAUUAGCUAGUUGGUAGGGUAAUGGCCUACCAAGGCGACGAUCUAUAGCUGGUCUGAGAGGAUGAUCAGCCACACUGGGACUGAGACACGGCCCAGACUCCUACGGGAGGCAGCAGUGGGGAAUCUUGCACAAUGGGCGAAAGCCUGAUGCAGCCAUGCCGCGUGAAUGAUGAAGGCCUUAGGGUUGUAAAAUUCUUUCGCUAGGGAUGAUAAUGACAGUACCUAGUA